GCCUUGGCCCGUCUCUCUAUUAUGCCCGUCCGCUCACCGUCGUCAUACUUUUGCUAAAACACCCCUGUGUUUUUCCGUAAUACAACCCGUAGUCCUUAUUUUACUAAUAACGUUUCGUUAAAAAAAGGUACGUUUUAUCCAAACGCUCAGCGGACAAGUGAAGGUCAGGUGCGGGCGGAGCUGGGCGGAGCUGCGGCAGAAGGGGUGGCGCGACGGAGCAGGAGAAGAUGUUCAGGCACGGCGGGCGGAGCGGGAGAGGUUCAUGCGGAGCUGCGGCAAAAGGGGCGGUGCAACGGAGCAGGAGAAGAUGGCCGAGAAGAUGUUCAGGCACGGCGUGGCGGGCGGAGCAGCAGAGGUUCAGGCGCAGCGCGGCGGGCAGAGCAAGAGAGGUUCAGGGGAGAUGCCAGCGGAGCAGGAGAGUACAUGGGCGGUGGAGCAGGAGAGGUUCAUGGGCGGUGCCCUUGUCGCCGGACGGCCAUCCUUGCUGUGCUUGACGGAGGAUAGAAGGGGGAACAUUUUCUGGUGGGUACGCCGGCCGCGGGCGCGCUUUGCUGUGACCUGUCCGCCGCCACCAAUCCUCUCCGGCCUCCUCCGUAUCCUUCUCAAUCUCGGACGAGCUAUUCCCGUGCCGUGAUUUGGAUGGACAAUAGGAGGUCGUGUCCUUCUCCAACACCAAGCAAUGGAGUGCCCGACCCGGAUUUGAGUUGUUUGCUAUAAGAAGGAGUGGUCCUCGGCCGAAAUCUCCAUCAGAUUGCGUCCUUGGACCAUAAGCUCCAUCAAAGCCCGUCCAAAUUGCUUUUUUUUGACGCAACGUACAAUGUCGCCGUCGAGUUCGCCGGAGGAGGAAGUGCCGAGUUCGCCGGAGGAACAAGACCAUCUGUCCAACCGCCCAAUUUCGCCUGCCUCAGCUACACCAGAGAAAAUAGAUGACAUCACUGAACUGAACAUUGCAGAGGAUUUGGAUAAUCGACCUUAAAAAAGCAAAAAUUGCUGAACCAGGUGUUCUGGAGCCAUCGCCAAUGUCGCCAACUAUGUCAGCAUCUACACCAAUUUCUGAAUGUUUUGAAUCCAUUGUGCCGGAAUCAGAUGAUCAGAUAGAUAAUGAUCCAUUGCCAUCUACUCCAUCGCCAUCUAGCUCAACAUUAUCUCCUGUUUUCUCAUUACAUGAUAUUAAGGAACCAGAUUCAAAUAAAGAGAUCAAAGUUGAUGAGACAUGAUUAUCUCCCACAAGACUAUGCAUUGACCGACCAUGAUCUAUGUGCACAUAUAGCAGUAGAAUCAUCUUUGAGUAAAGAAUUGCUGGUUCGGAUAGAUAGAAGUUAUGUGUUACAAAAUCAAUUGAUGUGCCUGCUAGAUGAAAAGGAGUGGGUAAAUGAUGAUGUAAGUACACUUACUAAAACAGGAAAGAGUUUCUAAGCACUAAUAUUUACCAGUAUUGUAUUUUUUGAAAUCUUAAUUUCAGGUGAUCUAUGCAUAUAUAUGUUGUUUAAAGGACUAAAUUCAUGUCCAGAAUGACAAUAAAGUAUAUGUUGAGAGUCCUUUUGUUACCUCACUAUUAAGACGGGAUGGUAACCUUGGCAUACAAGAAGAUAGUGCCUUUAUGACAAAUAUUGUCCAAAAAUAUAUGGAGUAUGACAUGAUAGAACUUCCAAUAAAUGCCAGCAACAUGCAUUGGUAUUUAGCUAUCGUGAAUACAAAAAAGCGUGAGAUUCAAACAUGCAUUGGUGCUGAAGUUUGUC